CCAAGACUCUAGCAGCAUAUAAAAUGAGAAAUUUUCAUCAAACAAGACUGUUCAAAUCUAUUAAAUUUGAAUUUUAGAACCUCCAAUAAGACCAUAGGCUAAAAAAAGGCACAAAUAUAUAUAUUAAUAAUUAAAAAAAGCACAACAUCAUUCAUAAGAACACCUUCCGAAAUCUGCAAUGCAUAUUUUUUUUUGGUUGGCAGAGAGAUGGAGAUGUAUUCAUAUAUUCAGAGAUCAAUUCAAUGUCUAUCAUAAAGAGACUCUCACUUUCAUAAAUGUACAAGCACAUCUUUAACAGCAGGCACAUUGAAUACUGGACAGAUUGUGAGUUAUGGCACUUUUUCUAGAUAAUUAGUUCCCUUGUUACCAUAUAUUCAGAGU
rnacentral:misc_RNA from 1 species